GUCCUAUGUCUUUGUGUUUUUCCUUGUCUUUUCUCAGUUUUUCGUGGUCUCUUGUUGAGCUUCCCUGCCUGUCUCCUGUGCCUAUGAUUUUGGAUUUUGGAUUUUCUGCUUUUUGUUUUGACUGGAUUUUUGCAUGUACCCUUUUAGAUUUGUUUUCUUAUGUGGACUAGUUUUGUCCUGAGCUUGUCUGACUUCAGCAUAAGCCUUUUGUAUUUUUGAUUGCACUCAUUAAAAUCUUUGAAUUGUAUCUUCUUGGUCUACUAUCCUGCGUUUGGGUCCAUAUCCUUUUUUUCCUGUGUCUGCACUCGGCCAUUGUCACACUAGGCAGGCUCGGAGGCUGAGUCAGAGUGAAGAAACCCGACUGUGAUAACAUGUUACCAGCAGCCCUGAGCCCAGAACUGUGCCCUUUCUCCAUGCACAGUGCUGCCACCUUCCCUGGCUAUCUUGCUGUGCCCCCCCAGAGAUGACACUCCAUGGGGGGCUACAUGUCCAAUUACAGGCCUAACCCUGACCUUUUGUCUGAGGCUAUCCUCCCACCCUUGGCUUCCUGACUAGCUUGAUUUGACCAACCAAGCAGACCACAAGCCGUAGCCUCUGUCUCUGUGUGUUGUCCCUAUUUGCCACAGUACUGAGUGGAAAAUCAGGCAGAGGACCUCUGCCUAAUGCUUCCUGAUAGCUGUUAAUUCAAUAAGUGAGCAACCUUGCCUUUAUUUGCCCUUGUGGUGAGAGUAAAUGGAGUUCUGAGUAGGGAAGAGAGAGACACAGUGCCAGAGAAGGUAUUUUGGAAAUAGUAUUUCUUAAAGGGGUGAUAUGUAGGUUUUCAAUGAAAUCAUUUUUUGAUAAAUCACCUUUUUACUCCC